GAAAGCGUAGCUCAUAGUAGAGCGCUCGCUUAUCAUGCGAGAGGUUCGGGGAUCGACACCCCGCGCAUCCA